CAGUGCCCAGCACAGCACCAAGAGCCUCUCAGUCCUGCUAGAAGGGAGAGAACAAACCUUUGCCUGGGAUGAGACCCACACAGGGAAGAUCUCAAGGAAGGAAAAUGAUAUAGCCUUGCCAGAAAUCCAUUAACUCCUCUUACCCUCAGAAAAUACCAUCGCAUAUCAAGGCUUGAUCACAUUUUCUGUCUCAAGCCAUUCCCCCUUGCCCUUUUACUACAUGCCUCAGAGUCCAUGCUCUCCAGGGAUUUUCACCCAAAGGAAUAACAGCAUUUCCAGGAACAACCCCUAUCCUGAAUUCCAGAGGCAUGAAGGAAAAUCAAGUGGAUUCCUGAAGCUCAUCAAAGAAUUAUUGCUCCAAGCAAAGUUGCAAAGCUGUAAUGAACUCUCA